rnacentral:misc_RNA from 1 species
AUAAAAUUCAAAUCAAUAUUCAUAAGCAAUAGAUAUAUAUUUUAAAAAAAUAUAAAAUUUAAAAGGGUUACCAUGUCGUUACUUUCCCAAGCAGAUCUGAGAGUUCGUUGCUGUCGGAGUCACGAUUUGGGUCUGAUAGAAUUCUGAUUGUCCCAUCAAAGCUCGGAGCUAAAAGCUUGUCGAAUACCUCGCUGGACGGAGAAAGCCGGU